rnacentral:snoRNA from 1 species
AAGCACCGGGACGGUCGCACCGCUGGCUCGCCUUUGUGCCGGCGGUGCAUCCCAAUGUGCCAGAUGG